AGGCUCUCUAAAAAUGACUCCUCAUGAAUUCCAGGAUCUACUCCUAUGAACAGCUAUAAAAUACGGGAGGUGUGAGCACUGUGGCUGAGAGUCAGAAAACCUGCCAUCUACACAAGUGAUCAAUGUGUGAUUUGGGGUUUGAAGAUGCUUCAAGAAUAUUCCCAGGAAAUAUCUCUUUAUGAUUAUUCAACUAAUGUGGAGCUCUCAACCAAAAGGUGCAGUGCCAGAUUUCUAAUCUGAGAAGAGAUUAUUCCAUCAAAUUCAAGAAAGACAGAUAAGGCCAAAUAGAUAAGCAAACAGCUAACCAGACAUGAUAUGCAAAAAUAAAAUGAAAC